rnacentral:rRNA from 1 species
CAGCCGCCGCGGUAAUACGAAGGGUGCAAGCGUUACUCGGAAUUACUGGGCGUAAAGCGUGCGUAGGUGGUGGUUUAAGUCCGUUGUGAAAGCCCUGGGCUCAACCUGGGAAUUGCAGUGGAUACUGGGUCACUAGAGUGUGGUAGAGGAUAGUGGAAUUUCCGGUGUAGCAGUGAAAUGCGUAGAGAUCGGAAGGAACAUCUGUGACGAAGGCGACUAUCUGGGCCAACACUGACACUGAGGCACGAAAGCGUGGGGAGCAAACAGGAUUAGAUACCCGCGUAGUCCCUGUCUCUUAUAC